rnacentral:rRNA from 1 species
UACGUAGGUGGCAAGCGUUGUCCGGAUUUAUUGGGUUUAAAGGGUGCGUAGGCGGUCCUUUAAGUCAGUGCUGAAAUACUCCAGCUUAACUGGAGGGGUGGCAUUGAUACUGGGGGACUUGAAUGAAGUCGAGGUAGGCGGAACUGACGGUGUAGCGGUGAAAUGCUUAGAUAUCGUCAAGAACACCGAUAGUGAAGACAGCUUACUAGGCUUAUAUUGACGCUGAGGCACGAAAGUGUGGGGAUCAAACAGG